AUCACGUUGACGCCUGCAAGACACACACGGCAGGACCAAAGUUAGCCUUUGGAGCGAGAAUCUCGAAACACCGAUGAUACAAAAAAUGUCGCCGUUUUCUUUCCACGAACAAAAGACUCAAGUGGACCGGAAGCCAUGAUUGGAUUUUCAAAAUAUGCAGUGGAGUCAGAUUUAAAAUUGUCAUCGCAACCACACAUGGGAUUUUGACAGACCCGUUUUGGGGUAAAUUUUGUCACGUUGUUUUCUUCCAAAUCCGAUUUUGAACACCAACAAAAGCUGAUCAUGUGUUUGAAAACAAUCAUAGAAAAAAAAAAGAAUGCAAAUGCAAUUGAAAUGUAUUGCAUUUAAAAGUUAAAUAAAACUUGUCUUUCAAUGUUGACAAACAAGCACUUUUUUUUUGUUUUAUUUUUGUUGACUUUGUUUCGAUUUUGGUCUUGUUUUACUGCAUCCCUUGUUCAUGUCUUGUUUGCUGGUUAGAUUUUGGUCCCAACCUGUUCCUUGUGUCAUGCAAUCAGCUGAAUCCAGCCACUCGCGUCUUUGUCAAGGUGUGCCUCGUUGUCUCCUCAAUUUGUUGAUAUCGUUUCUGUCGGUGUGGCUUCAUGUCUUCCUCGAGCGGUGAGCGUUUUCGUUUCCUUCUGCUUCUUUGAAUUUGGACUUUUUUUUUUUGAAGUUGUUUUUGAUAAAUACUUUGGAAGUGACUCCUGGUUCCCUGAAUCUGGCUCCACCUCUUUUCUCUCCACUUCCACAGGCAAAAGGGUCAAUGUUUGAUGAAGCUAAACUUAAAAAAAAAAAUCUGCACAUAAGAAGGAAUAUAUGUACUUUACUGGAUUAAAAAAUAUAUAUAUUAGGAGUCCCAGAUGUAAACCCAACAUAUCACACUACGGAAAUGGAGACACUCGCAUAUAUCGCAUGUCGAUACCACCUCCUGUGUAUGUUUCUCCUCCCCCUCCCCCGCACCCUAUCACUUGCGUCAUCUUGAUUUCGAAAUUCCGGUUCAAACAAAGGCCAAAGCCGGCAAAGUAAAUACUUGCCAAACCAGUGAGCGCAACCGAAUGGAUACCGUCGAACCUUGAACGUACCUCAAGGGACAAAACAAAUCCGUACCUCCACAGAAGUCUCCCAAGUGAUGCCAAAGACGUAAAAUGUGAUCACUUGCAUCUUUAUGUUCUCAUGAAGUCCGACGGGUGAGUCGUUUGACCAGUUUUUAUUUUAUUUUUGUCCUGACCUGAAUGUGCGCUACUUCAAAACCAAUUUCCUGCUUUCCAAUAAUGAAAUGAUGGAUUAACCUGCUGGUUUAGACUGGACA